CAAAGAUUACGCCAUGCAAGUGAAAGUAUAUGCAUAUUUUAUAUGUAGAAACUGCGAACGGCUCAUUAAAACAGUUAUAAUCUACUUGACAUUUUUUCUAUAAGGAUAACUACGGAAAAGCUGUAGCUAAUACUUGCUUUAGCACUCUUGAUUCAUUUCUUGAGUGUGUACUUGUUAAGCCUUUUAAGAAAAAAGUUAUUAACUUAAGGAAUUAUAACAAAGAAGCGACACGUAAUGGAUCCGUCCAUUUUUAGUGUGUAUCAAUCGAGUUUCUGACCUAUCAGCUUUUGAUGUUAGGGUAUUGGCCUAACAUGGCUAUGACGGGUAACGGGGAAUUAGAGUUCGAUUCCGGAGAGGGAGCCUGAGAAAUAGCUACCACAUCUAAGGAAGGCAGCAGGCGCGUAAAUUACCCAAUUCUAAAGAAGAGAGGUAGUGACAAGAAAUAACAAUACAAGGCCAAUCUGGCUUUGUAAUUGGAAUGAUGGGAAUUUAAAACCUUCCCAAAACUCAAUUGGAGGGCAAGUCUGGUGCCAGCAGCCGCGGUAAUUCCAGCUCCAAUAGCGUAUAUUAAAAUUGUUGCAGUUAAAACGCUCGUAGUUGAAUUUCAAAGAAUCGAUAUUUUAAGCAACGCUUCUAGCUUAAUCCACAUAACUGAUACUUCGUAUCGACUUUGUGCGCGUUUUGCUAUUAUGUGUUCUUUUAAUUAAAAUGAUUCUUUUUAAGGACUUUCUUUGCUUCGGCUUGGAAGUCCUUGUUACUUUGAGUAAAUUAGAGUGUUCAAAGCAAACAGAUAUAGCAUUGCGCGUUUGAAUACUACAGCAUGGAAUAACAAAAUUGAACAAGUCAGAAUUUUGUUCUUUUUUCUUAUUUUGGCUUAGUUACGAUUAAUAGGAGUAGCUUGGGGGCAUUUGUAUUCAGAUGUCAGAGGUGAAAUUCUUAGAUUUUCUGGAGACAAACAACUGCGAAAGCAUUUGCCUAAAAUACUUCCAUUAAUCAAGAACGAAAGUUAAGGGAGUGAAGACGAUCAGAUACCGUCGUAAUCUUAACCAUAAACUAUGCCGACUAGGCUUUGGAUGAAAGAUUUUAAAAUAAGAAUUUUCUCUUCGGAGUUUAUUCUUAGAUUGCUUCCUUCAGUGCCUUAUGAGAAAUCAAAGUCUUUGGGUUCUGGGGCGAGUAUUCGCGCAAGCGAGAAAGUUAAAAGAAUUGACGGAAGGGCACCACCAGGCGUGGAGCUUGCGGCUUAAUUUGACUCAACACGGGAAAACUCACUAGUUUAAGACAAGAGUAGGAUUGACAGAUUAAUAGCUCUUUCUUGAUUUCUUGGAUGGUGAUGCAUGGCCGUUUUUAGUUCGUGAAUAUGAUUUGUCUGGUUAAUUCCGAUAACGAACGAGAUCUUAACCUGCUAAUUAGCGGCAAAUACGAUAUAUUCUUACGUGGGACUGAAUUCGGUUGAUUUGCUUACUUCGAAGAAAAUAUUGGGAUACGUAACAGUUUCCCUUUCCCUUUUCUACUUAGUUCGCUUUUCAUACUGUUUCUUUUUCGCGUAAGAAUGUAUUUGCUUGAUUGUAAAGCUUCUUAGAGGAACGAUGUGUGCCUAACACAAGGAAGUUUAAGGCAACAACAGGUCUGUGAUGUCCUUAGAUGAACUAGGCUGCACGCGUGCUACACUGAUAUGUAUAACGAGUUAUUAAAAUUACGAUUCAGCUUGCUGUUUCGUAUUUUUCCUCCACUGAAAAGUGUAGGUAAUCUUUAUCAGUACAUAUCGUGAUGGGGAUAGAUUAUUGCAAUUAUUAAUCUUGAACGAGGAAUGCCUGGUAAGCAUGAUUCAUCAGAUUGUGCUGACUACGUCCCCUGCCCUUUGUACACACCGCCCGUCGCUCCUACCGAUUGAAAGAUAUGAUGAAUUGUUUGGACAAGAAGAAGGGGGAUUAUAUCUCCUUUUUUCUGGAAAAACCGUAAAUCCUA
rnacentral:rRNA from 1 species